AGCAACUAUUUAGCGCUUAAUUAUCAGCGAGCCCAAUAAGAUGUCUGGUGACUUUGAUCAUUUGCGCGACACUGAGACAAUGCGAUCGGAGUCGUCGAUGACCAUGAGCAAUGGAAUCAUAGUGGCCAUCCAUUAUAAAAAUGGAGUCAUGUUGGGCGCCGAGAAGACAGCCACGAUUAACGGUGUGGUGAUCUCCAGGACAUGUCCAAAGAUUUUUCGGUUGCAUAACAACAUUUACUGUGGCGGCAGUGGUUCAGCCAGCGAUAUAAGCAAUGUAACACGCUCGAUUGAAUCGCAGCUGCAGGUGCUUCAUCAAAGGAUCAGUCAACGUCGCGUGCCCGUCGUCAGUGCCAAGAAACUGCUCAAGAAAACGCUGAUGCACGGUUUUGCUAAAGUCUUGGCCAGCUUCAUUAUUAUCGGCGUGGACAGGUUGGGCAUGCAUCUGUAUAGUCUGCACUGCGAUGGCACCUCGGAGUACAUAUUGUUCAACGCAAUAGGAUUGGGCCGGUUUGCUGCGAUGGCAAUACUGGAGAAUCGUUGGCAUCUCGACAUCGACGAGAACGAUGCACGUGAUCUAAUCAUCGAUGCCAUCAACGCCGCCUUCUCAAUUGGUGGAUCAUCCGGAUACAACAUCGAUCUGUGCAUCAUCCGUAAGGAUUUCAGCGUGGAGCACCGCAGCGAGACAAUACGCCCCAUCGCAAGUCGUGAAAUGCAGGAAGUGAACAGUGUACAGACGCCCCUUAACUCCGACUGGCUACGUGACGUCACAAUUACAAAGGAAAAUGUGAUUAUAUUAACGCCACCGUCGAGGCCACCGUCACCGUCACCUUCACCGUCACAAACACCAACAACGCCAAGAAUCAGACCCUUUGAACUUCGCACAACAACCGCCACCAUGCAGCUUAACGAAAGUCCACCAAAGAAGAAAAAAAAGCUAUAAUUCAAUUACCAAUUGCGGAUAAACUCAGUGAGUACUUACCACUAUCAAAUAAAUAAUAACAGGUUUAUAUUUAAAAGUUUUUUUCAGGGGGAUUUAAAUUAGCUUUCAACUGACACAUUUAAGAAGCACCACACGAAUUGAAUCCGAAUGAUGAGCGAUGAGCACCUGCACUAGAAAUCAUGAAGGAGAGAAGGCACUCCACACUGGCUCCCACUUCAUCUCACAAAAGAUUAUUUGCCACUGAAGAGAGAUUAUUAACGUAUAUGUUUGUGAUUUUAACAACAACAAAAAACAAGAGAGAACGACCAUCUUAACCCCGCAGAAGAUUAGAUACUCUUACAGACCGGAGUCACAUUGACAUCAUUUCAAUUUGACUAUAAAC
rnacentral:misc_RNA from 1 species